CCCGGUUGACUAGUGCGCCGCGGCUCACUUCACAUUCUGCCCAUUUUCCUUCAAGCAGUCAACCCGGUUGGCUAGUGCGCCGCGGCUCACUGCCUUCUAUUCUCAAUCUUCUUCUAAUCACCCCCGAUUCAUUGUGAGCCAUGGUUAGCAUGCCUUAAACACUCUCUUUUGCGUCGUUGUGAGCUUUCUUCACAAUCUUCAAAUGCUUUAACAUCGACAUUCUUCAUUUAACACCUAAAGCAUCACAAUUAACCAUUAAGCUCAAAUUAACACAAAAUCACCACUACUCUACACAACUUUUACAAUAAAAUAUGACUAAACUAAUAAUAGACAAUUGCACAAACACGACGAAACAUAAGACACCACCACUAAGCAUUUGCUUGUCCUCAAGCAAAAAUCUAGUUCAACGUAGUAGAGUUUGAACUUAAGAGACUUCAUUUCCGGUUAACUCAACAUAGACAUCAUAUCCUCUUCAGAACCAUGGUCAACCAUUUCCCAACAUCAAUGAAAAUCACAAUUAACCCGAAGCAUGUUACUCGUCUAUGAGAUAAUCAAUCGGAUCAGACCCAGCCCCCCAUAAGAAGUGAGUUACCUAAUGCAGCUGUUUUUAUCAACAAGUCUCUUUACAUUUAUUCAACAAUAACGAAAAACUAAAUGAGGUACAUCCCUCUUAUUCCCAAACUCUCAACCUUUUUUUUUCUUUGAUUUUUGUUGCUUUUUUUAUUUUGUUUUUUU
rnacentral:lncRNA from 1 species